GACGAACGCUGGCGGCGUGCUUAACACAUGCAAGUCGAACGGAAAGGCCCUGCUUUUGUGGGGUGCUCGAGUGGCGAACGGGUGAGUAACACGUGAGUAACCUGCCCUUGACUUUGGGAUAACUUCAGGAAACUGGGGCUAAUACCGGAUAGGAGCUCAUGCUGCAUGGUGGGGGUUGGAAAGUUUCGGCGGUUGGGGAUGGACUCGCGGCUUAUCAGCUUGUUGGUGGGGUAGUGGCUUACCAAGGCUUUGACGGGUAGCCGGCCUGAGAGGGUGACCGGCCACAUUGGGACUGAGAUACGGACCAGACUCCUACGGGAGGCAGCAGUGGGGAAUAUUGCACAAUGGGCGGAAGCCUGAUGCAGCAACGCCGCGUUCGGGAUGACGGCCUUCGGGUUGUAAACCGCUUUCGCCUGUGACGAAGCGUGAGUGACGGUAAUGGGUAAAGAAGCACCGGCUAACUACGUG
rnacentral:rRNA from 1 species